rnacentral:rRNA from 1 species
UACGUAGGGUGCGAGCGUUAAUCGGAAUUACUGGGCGUAAAGCGUGCGCAGGCGGUUGGCCGUGUCCGAUGUGAAAGCCCCGGGCUUAACCUGGGAAUGGCAUUGGAAACUGGCUGGCUGGAGUGUGGCAGAGGGGGGUGGAAUUCCACGGUGUAGCAGUGAAAUGCGUAGAGAUGUGGAGGAACACCGAUGGCGAAGGCAGCCCCCUGGGCCAACACUGACGCUCAGGCACGAAAAGCGUGGGGAGCAAACAGG